rnacentral:tRNA from 1 species
UCCUAGAUAGUAUAGUGGUGAGUAUCUCCGCCUGUCACGCGGAAGACCGGGGUUCAAUUCCCCGUCUGGGAG